UUCAAGUUUUUUUUUUUUUUUUUUUUUUUUUUUGACGAUCCCCGAAUUGAAGCGGCUGCAUUGUAAUGAAAUCGGCAAG
rnacentral:ribozyme from 1 species